UCGGGAAUUUUGCGCAAUGGACGAAAGUCUGACGCAGCAACGCCGCGUGAGGGAUGAAGGCCUUCGGGUUGUAAACCUCUUUUAUCAGGGAAGAUGAUGACGGUACCUGAUGAAUAAGUCACGGCUAACUACGUGCCAGCAGCCGCGGUAAUACGUAGGUGACAAGCGUUGUCCGGAUUUACUGGGCGUAAAGAGCGCGCAGGCGGUCGAUCAAGUCGAGUGUGAAAGCCCCCGGCUCAACUGGGGAGGGUCAUUCGAUACUGAUCGACUCGAAGGCAGGAGAGGGUGGUGGAAUUCCCGGUGUAGUGGUGAAAUGCGUAGAUAUCGGGAGGAACACCAGUGGCGAAGGCGACUACCUGGCCUGUUCUUGACGCUGAGGCGCGAAAGCUAGGGGAGCAAACGGG
rnacentral:rRNA from 1 species